rnacentral:rRNA from 1 species
GACGAACGCUGGCGGCGUGCUUAACACAUGCAAGUCGAACGGAAAGGCCCUGCUUUUAUGGGGUGCUCGAGUGGCGAACGGGUGAGUAACACGUGAGUAACCUGCCCUUGACUUUGGGAUAACUUCAGGAAACUGGGGCUAAUACCGGAUAGGAGCUCCUGCUGCAUGGUGGGGGUUGGAAAGUUUCGGCGGUUGGGGAUGGACUCGCGGCUUAUCAGCUUGUUGGUGGGGUAGUGGCUUACCAAGGCUUUGACGGGUAGCCGGCCUGAGAGGGUGACCGGCCACAUUGGGACUGAGAUACGGCCCAGACUCCUACGGGAGGCAGCAGUGGGGAAUAUUGCACAAUGGGCGGAAGCCUGAUGCAGCAACGCCGCGUGCGGGAUGACGGCCUUCGGGUUGUAAACCGCUUUCGCCUGUGACGAAGCGUGAGUGACGGUAAUGGGGAAAGAAGCACCGGCGAACUACGU